AUGCACAGCAAAGCCUACUGCGGUGGUGUACUUGGCGGUUGGGGAAAUGGCACUGGCGGUGGCUGCAGUGGUAAAGGCCAUGGUGGCAGCUGCUUCCCAGACAUCUGGCAUCUUGGGGACCCGAGGAGUGCAUCGUUGGUGCACCCACACCCUCCCCAGCCCCCCAUCUCUCCCAUCUGUCCUAGUGACUCUCACCACUCAAGGAGCCCUGCUUUCCUCACUUACAGCCAUCUCUUUGACUGCACUUGUUUAAAUUACAUGACCUUGAAACCUCCCUCCAUAAGCUAUUCAGAUCAAAAUUCUCCCUGGAACCUCCUGAGUUGGCUGAGAACAGAGCAGCAAAGUCCACAACAUUCUCCGAAGUUAGAGGCAAGAUUUUCAUCUUGAACUUCCUGGGCACACCCCUGGGCUCCUAAGCAGGCUUCAUCUGACCUUAAUUAUGGAUUUCAGGCCAUCCCCUUCUGUCUUUUUGAAUCUGGUUUGCCUACCAGUAUUUCAUGUUUUGGAGAAUAUCUUGGAUAUUUUCCAGGUGAAACUUCAGUCUUUCCUCAUGGCUUUGCUGCCUCAGUUGGUCCAACAGCUUAUGGAGUUGGGCCUCCUGGGCCCACGUGACUUCACAUAUGUUAAGUCACUGUGAACCUGUGAGUGAAAACAUCUCACACUAGUUCUAUUCAAUGGGUUCUUCCCCAAUGUGAGAUUUCUGCUUAUUGAAGGAGAUAAGAGGCACUUAAAAGACUGCCCACAGACGCUCAUUUGUUCUUUUCUCUAUGUAUGAAUUCUAGGCUAAUCAGUCAGUCAUAGUUCCUGGUUAAAAACCUUCCCCAUGUGAGUUACAUAUGCACGGUGUGUUACUCUCUUGCACGCAUUGAGAUUUCUUGCUUUUUUUUUUUUUUUGAGGAAGAUUAGCCCUGAGCUAACAUCUGCUGCCAAUCGUCUUUUUGCUAAGGAAGACUGGCCUUGAGCUAACAUCUGUGUCCAUCUUCCUCUACUUUACAUGUGGGACAUCUUCCAUAGAAUGGCCUGCCAAGUGGUCUCAUGUCUGCACCCGGGAUCCAAAUUGGUGAAGCCUGGGCCACUUAAGUCGAACGUGUGAACUUAACUGUUGUGCCACUGGACCUGCCCAGAGAUUUCUUCUUUAUAACACCUCAACUGUACUGUUGGUUAAUUUUGUAACUUCAUUGUGCUUCAUAGCCUCUUGGCCUAGUUAACACAGGCAACAGGACCAGAAGUUCCCAGUGUUUUUUCCCAAAAUGUUAGCGUGGUUUUAUCUAGGUCACUCUACUUUGGGGUCUCUUUGUUAGAACAGCUUAACCUACACCUUAGCUACUAUACCCUUCCCCAUGUCACCUGACUAAUAAAUCAGAUGGAACUCUUCA
rnacentral:lncRNA from 1 species